rnacentral:lncRNA from 1 species
UAGGGAGUCUGGCCUAGUGAAAGUCUCUGUUUCCUCCUUUUCUUACUUUUCACUCAAUAAAACCCUGCUUUACACACCCUUCAAACCAUCUGUGAGCCUGAAUUUUUACGGCCAUGGGACAGACAAGGAUCCUGUCUUUAUCUAAACUAAGGAAAAGUCCUGCAACAUUUGUGGUGCACAACGUGGGGCUCGAGAAGUGGAAAACGCCUAUUUUGGAGUGAAACCAGGGCCGCCUUAUGAGCUAAACAGAGUGUGUUACAGCUUCAAUAGACUAAACAAGCUCUAAAUUUAUCUUCCUAUGGUCACGGGAUCUCAUAUAUUCUGGCUGUCAUUGUCAUAAUAAGCCACUCUUGGUCAUAUGGAAAAGCAUUCAGCUGCUCCCUGCCUUUGCUCACAGCGUGUGGUACUCUCUUAGAAGCUAUUCCUGUCCUAUUUAGGCAGUUAUUCCUGCUUCUUGUGUUGGACCUGAAGUCAACAGGGCCAGCAAUAGAGAAGAAAGAUGAUGUGAAGGAGAGCAACUGAAAUGGGAGAGUUCUCUGACCCACUCGUGGAACCUGCUUGGGCUGCCAUGUGCUCAAACCCUUUAUGGAGGGGAGAUGCA